GGCUCAGAUUGAACGCUGGCGGCAGGCUUAACACCUGCAAGUCGAGCGGAGAUGAGGUGCUUGCACCUUAUCUUAGCGGCGGACGGGUGAGUAAUGCUUAGGAAUCUGCCUAUUAGUGGGGGACAACAUUCCGAAAGGAAUGCUAAUACCGCAUACGCCCUACGGGGGAAAGCAGGGGAUCUUCGGACCUUGCGCUAAUAGAUGAGCCUAAGUCGGAUUAGCUAGUUGGUGGGGUAAAGGCCUACCAAGGCGACGAUCUGUAGCGGGUCUGAGAGGAUGAUCCGCCACACUGGGACUGAGACACGGCCCAGACUCCUACGGGAGGCAGCAGUGGGGAAUAUUGGACAAUGGGCGGAAGCCUGAUCCAGCCAUGCCGCGUGUGUGAAGAAGGCCUUUUGGUUGUAAAGCACUUUAAGCGAGGAGGAGGCUACUUAGAUUAAUACUCUAGGAUAGUGGACGUUACUCGCAGAAUAAGCACCGGCUAACUCUGUGCCAGCAGCCGCGGUAAUACAGAGGGUGCGAGCGUUAAUCGGAUUUACUGGGCGUAAAGCGUGCGUAGGCGGCUGAUUAAGUCGGAUGUGAAAUCCCUGAGCUUAACUUAGGAAUUGCAUUCGAUACUGGUCAGCUAGAGUAUGGGAGAGGAUGGUAGAAUUCCAGGUGUAGCGGUGAAAUGCGUAGAGAUCUGGAGGAAUACCGAUGGCGAAGGCAGCCAUCUGGCCUAAUACUGACGCUGAGGUACGAAAGCAUGGGGAGCAAACAGGAUUAGAUACCCUGGUAGUCCAUGCCGUAAACGAUGUCUACUAGCCGUUGGGGCCUUUGAGGCUUUAGUGGCGCAGCUAACGCGAUAAGUAGACCGCCUGGGGAGUACGGUCGCAAGACUAAAACUCAAAUGAAUUGACGGGGGCCCGCACAAGCGGUGGAGCAUGUGGUUUAAUUCGAUGCAACGCGAAGAACCUUACCUGGCCUUGACAUAGUAAGAACUUUCCAGAGAUGGAUUGGUGCCUUCGGGAACUUACAUACAGGUGCUGCAUGGCUGUCGUCAGCUCGUGUCCUGAGAUGUUGGGUUAAGUCCCGCAACGAGCGCAACCCUUUUCCUUAUUUGCCAGCGAGUAAUGUCGGGAACUUUAAGGAUACUGCCAGUGACAAACUGGAGGAAGGCGGGGACGACGUCAAGUCAUCAUGGCCCUUACGGCCAGGGCUACACACGUGCUACAAUGGUCGGUACAAAGGGUUGCUACCUAGCGAUAGGAUGCUAAUCUCAAAAAGCCGAUCGUAGUCCGGAUUGGAGUCUGCAACUCGACUCCAUGAAGUCGGAAUCGCUAGUAAUCGCGGAUCAGAAUGCCGCGGUGAAUACGUUCCCGGGCCUUGUACACACCGCCCGUCACACCAUGGGAGUUUGUUGCACCAGAAGUAGGUAGUCUAACCGCAAGGAGGACGCUAC
rnacentral:rRNA from 1 species